rnacentral:rRNA from 1 species
UACGAAGGGGGCUAGCGUUGUUCGGAAUUACUGGGCGUAAAGCGUGCGCAGGCGGCUAUCCAAGUCAGUGGUGAAAGCCCGGAGCUCAACUCCGGAACUGCCAUUGAAACUGUUUAGCUUGAGUAUGAGAGAGGUGAGUGGAAUUCCCAGUGUAGAGGUGAAAUUCGUAGAUAUUGGGAAGAACACCGGUGGCGAAGGCGGCUCACUGGCUCAUUACUGACGCUCAGGCGCGACAGCGUGGGGAUCAAACAGG